rnacentral:rRNA from 1 species
GAGUUUGAUCCUGGCUCAGAACGAACGCUGGCGGCGUGCCUAACACAUGCAAGUCGAACGUGAUCCAGAGCUUGCUCUGGUGAAAGUGGCGCACGGGUGAAUAACGCGUGGAUAACCUACCCUGGUAUCCGGGAUAACAUUCCGAAAGGGGUGCUAAUACCGGAUAAGCCCACGGGCUCUUUGGAGCUUGCGGGAAAAGGUGGCCUCUAUUUAUAAGCUACUGUAUCAGGAUGGGUCCGCGUACCAUUAGCUAGUUGGCGGUGUAACGGACCACCAAGGCGACGAUGGUUAGCUGGUCUGAGAGGAUGAUCAGCCACACUGGAACUGAGACACGGUCCAGACUCCUACGGGAGGCAGCAGUGGGGAAUUUUGCGCAAUGGGGGAAACCCUGACGCAGCAACGCCGCGUGAGUGAUAAAGGCCUUUGGGUCGUAAAGCUCUGUCAGAGGGGAAGAAAUGAUAUAGUGCUAAUACCACUUUAUCUUGACGGUACCCUCAAAGGAAGCACCGGCUAACUCCGUGCCAGCAGCCGCGGUAAUAC